rnacentral:rRNA from 1 species
UACGUAGGGAGCAAGCGUUGUCCGGAAUCAUUGGGCGUAAAGCGCGCGUAGGUGGCCAUGUAAGUCCGCUGUGAAAGUCAAAGGCUCAACCUUUGAAAGCCGGUGGAUACUGCAUGGCUAGAGUACGGAAGAGGCGAGUGGAAUUCCUGGUGUAGCGGUGAAAUGCGCAGAUAUCGGGAGGAACACCAAUGGCGAAGGCAGCUCGCUGGGACGUGACUGACGCUGAGACGCGAAAGCGUGGGGAGCAAACAGG